CACGUAGGCGGAUAGGUAAGUCAGAUGUGAAAUCCCGGGGCUCAACUUCGGAACUGCAUUUGAUACUGCCUGUCUUGAGUGUGGUAGAGGGGGGUGGAAUUCCCGGUGUAGAGGUGAAAUUCGUAGAUAUCGGGAGGAACACCAGAGGCGAAGGCGACCCCCCUGGGCCACUACUGACGCUGAGGUGCGAAAGCGUGGGGAGCAAACA
rnacentral:rRNA from 1 species